AAAGGCCCUUCGGGUUGUAAACCCCUUUUGUUAGGGAAGCAAAUCUUCCUGGUUAAUACCUGGUGGGGAUGAGAGUACCAAAAGAAUAAGCACCGGCUAACUACGUGCCAGCAGCCGCGGUAAUACGUAGGGUGCAAGCGUUAAUCGGAAUUACUGGGCGUAAAGCGUGCGCAGGUGGUUUGACAAGACCGACGUGAAAGCCCCGGGCUCAACCUGGGAAUUGCGUUGGUGACUGUCUGACUAGAGUGUGGCAGAGGGGGGUGGAAUUCCGCGUGUAGCAGUGGAAUGCGUAGAGAUGCGGAGGAACACCGAUGGCGAAGGCAGCCCCCUGGGCUAACACUGACACUCAUGCCCGAAAGCGUGGGGAGCAAACAGGAUUAGAUACCCUGGUAGUCCACUCCCUAAACGAUGUCCACUGGUUGUUGGGAUUUCGUCCUUAUAACGAAGUAAACGCAAUAA
rnacentral:rRNA from 1 species